GGUCUCAACUUUUUCUGACUUUACAUUUCACUGGAUUUGCAGUUAGGCCAGCCUCCCAUCGGGACAGGAGGAUGGAGGUGAUCUGUUCAAAGUGGGUUUCCCAGGCUUGGUUACACAUAACCACAUUGGUCUAAAUAAGCUGCAGCAUAUGAACCAUUGGUUGGAGGACUUGGUACGUGAGCUGUUGGAGCAUCACUGGGUCACCAUGGAGGCCAAAGGAGACUCAGUCACUCAUCUGAGUCCCAGUCCACUGUGAUCAUCUUAUUCCUCAACUCAUUCUAUGGCUACUAUCUAAUCUGGAAAAGAACUGGAAGAGAAACCGUCAGAAUGCUGAAUGAAGCAGUAAAUAAGCAGCUUUAUGUCCAACCACUGCAGCAAUCUUAUGAGCUGUGCAGUCCCAAACUGUUCUAAAAAUUUCUAAUAGUAAAAUAGAAAAUAAGGCUCUAACUCAACGUAAUGAAGCAAAUGUCUAACUUUAAGUGCAUGGGUAACCUCUUUGAAAGCGCAAAUGCUUAACAUUAGCCACGUGCUUUACUACCUUAUUGAAUUGGGGCCUAUUCAAAAGUGUUUGCAUAAUAUUAUCAAUAAAAUAACUAUUUAAAGCAACCACUCCUGCAUGUUGCAUGUAUCCUACUUGGUAACAUGGUUACGUCAGAAGCAGAAUAUUUUUUCUGGUAUAUGAUUAAAAUUUGAAUAAAAAAUGA